CCUACGGGCGACAGCAGUAGGGAAUCUUUCACAAUGGGCGAAAGCCUGAUGGAGCAACGCCGCGUGCAGGAUGAAGGCCUUCGGGUUGUAAACUGCUUUUAUAAGCGAGAAAUAUGAUGGUAACUUAUGAAUAAGGAUCGGCUAACUACGUGCCAGCAGCCGCGGUCAUACGUAGGAUCCGAGCAUUAUCCGGAGUGACUGGGUGUAAAGAGUUGCGUAGGUGGCAUAAUAAGUAGCUAGUGAAAUCUGGUGGCUCAACCAUUCAGACUAUUAGCUAAACUGUUAAGCUCGAGACCGUUAGGGGUAACUGGAAUUUCUAGUGUAGGAGUGAAAUCCGUAGAUAUUAGAAGGAACACCAAUAGCGUAGGCAGGUUGCUGGGACGGUUCUGACACUAAGGCACGAAAGCGUAGGGAGCAAACGGGAUUAGAUACCCGAGUAGUC
rnacentral:rRNA from 1 species